GGAUAGUAAUGUCUGAGCUCGUUCCCUGUGCAUGCACAUGGAUCCACCUCGGGGUUUUGAGGCUAGUCCCUGUCUGCGAAUGAACUUGUCUUCUGAGUCCCAGGGAUGUUAUAGCCACUCCCUGCCACACGCUCCCAGGACCACUGGGACAGAGCUGGGUCUCACUACAUAGUCCUGGCUGUCCUGGAAUUCAUUAUGUAGACCAGGACUGCAGACUUCAACUCAAGACCUGCCAGUCUUCGCCUUCCUGGUGCUGGGAUUAAGGCGUGCACCACCACACAUGGCUUUCUUUCCUCUUUUUGAGACAGAGUCUCGCCGAGUAUCCCUGGAUAGACUGGAACUUUCUAUGCAGACCAGACUGCCUUCCAAAUGCUAGGAUUAAAGGAAUGCCCCACCA